GACGAACGCUGGCGGCGUGCUUAACACAUGCAAGUCGAACGGAAAGGCCUUUUCGGAGGUACUCGAGUGGCGAACGGGUGAGUAACACGUGGGUGAUCUGCCCUGCACUCUGGGAUAAGCCUGGGAAACUGGGUCUAAUACCGGAUAGGACCGCACUUUAGUGUGUGUGGUGGAAAGUUUUUUCGGUGUAGGAUGAGCCCGCGGCCUAUCAGCUUGUUGGUGGGGUAAUGGCCUACCAAGGCGGCGACGGGUAGCCGGACUGAGAGGUUGGUCGGCCACAUUGGGACUGAGAUACGGCCCAGACUCCUACGGGAGGCAGCAGUGGGGAAUACUGCACAAUGGGCGCAAGCCUGAUGCAGCGACGCCGCGUGGGGGAUGACGGCCUUCGGGUUGUAAACUCCUUUCGCCAGGGACGAAGCGUUUUGUGACGGUACCUGGAGAAGAAGCACCGGCUAACUACGUG
rnacentral:rRNA from 1 species